GUGCCAGCAGCCGCGGUAAUUCCAGCUCCAAUAGCGUAUACUAAAGUUGUUGCGAUUAAAAGCUCGUAGUUGGAUCUCAGGUAUGGGCGCGCGGUCCGCCUCGCGGCGGUCACUGUGUGUAUUUUUCCCAUCCUACGCUUCCCGGUUGUUAGCCCAUGGUGCUCUUUAUUGAGCGUUUUGGGUGGCCGGAACGUUUACUUUGAAGAAAUUAGAGUGUUCAAAGCAGGCACGUUGCCUGAAUAAUGGUGCAUGGAAUAAUGGAAUAGGACCUCGGUUCUAUUUUGCUGGUUUUCGGAACACGAGGUAAUGAUUAAGAGGGACAGACGGGGGCAUCCGUAUUGCGGUGUUAGAGGUGAAAUUCUUGGAUCAUCGCAAGACGAACAACUGCGAAAGCAUUUGCCAAGCAUGUUUUCAUUAGUCAAGAACGAAAGUCAGAGGUUCGAAG
rnacentral:rRNA from 1 species